GUACUUACUUCAGCAGCACGUAUACUAAAAUUGGAAUGAUACAGAGAAGAUUAGCAUGGCCCUUGCAUAAGGAUGACAUGCAAAUUCACGAACCAUAUUUUU